CUUGGCCGCCCGGGGGAGCCGGUCCUCGGGGCCCUCGUCCUCUUUAGCACCCGGCGUCUCCAAUUUACCUUCCACCCGUCGUCACCUGCAGCUGCUCAGAACUUCUUACCCUGGAAUUACGUCCGGUUAAAUCGCGGCAAAUCUCCUCAGAGUGCAGUGACCUAGGCUGGCACCCACCUAAGCCAGCACCCACCUCCCACAGAAGCCUCUACAGCAGGAGUGGAGCACACUGUUCCAGGUAUGGUGGAAAUUACUCACCUGAAGGACCAUAAAGAUGUACUUGUGGCUUGCUGAGGGGAAAUCUGAAAAUCACUUUCUUUUUGAAUUUGUUGUUUUUAAAUGGAAUUCAUUAAUUCUUUUGCCUCACUGUCACACUGGGAAACUGAUGGUCCAAUUUCUUUGUGUGGGUAGAUCAUCAAACUAUGCCAAAUCUUAUUGAAGUCAUUAGACAUCCAUAUAACCCUGGUCAUCAUCUGUACCAUGGAAGCAUGCAGAGAACAGCCAGUGAAUUUUGAGGCUGUCAUGGAAGAAACUGGGACUCAACUGAUGUGUAAAUAUUCAAGACUAGCCCUACAGAAAAUGAAACAGUUAGGAAGCAUCAUACUCUUAGCUGUCUCCAAAUGUGCUGGACUCAAGCUUUCAGCUGAUUUUUUCUUGAUAUCUGGUGCUAUUGUCAGUUACUGAUGCAUUUAGACACCAAACAAUAAAUAUAUUUUUCUUCGUUAACAAGCUUGCCAGCAUGACAUAAGGGCUCAUUUUUUAAAACUAGGAUUUCUCUAUUUGUCUCUAAAAUGUGUUUUUCAGUUCUGGAGGACAGAACCAUAAUUCUAUAAUCCGUUUAUAUUUUGUCAUAAUAGGAGUUGCUGGUAUAUCUUAUAUUUAUGGACAUCCCAUAGUAAAUAAACUACACAAAACAUUUAAAAGAAACAACAGUGUGUUCUGGCCAGUGUCAGAGCCACAGUGAAAAAGAGACAAACUAGAGGAAAAGCAAGCAUCUGAGGAUGGAAAUGCUUCUGGUAUGGUCUAGAUGGUGAGAUAGGAGAAAAUGUCUUUUUUUCUGUGAUGAGGACUUAUUCAGCAGUACAGGUAAAGCUGGCAUGACAACACAGAAAUCAUGGGCUGUAUUUUUCCAGAAGAUGACUAUGUGCUAGGGAUAUCAGUUUAUUAGAAUUAGUCCCUUGUGCUUCAUUUUCACUGUCUACCAAAUAUCAGUGUUUGGUCUUUGGUGGACAAGUGACUUGCUAGAUCAUGGUUCCCUCUUCCUGCUCUCUCCUUUCUUCCCAGCCGUAGGAUUUAUGAAAAGUACCAAGCUGCUUUUCAAAAUUUGCUCUGCUUUGCAGUUAUAUAUAGAUGACUUGUUGGAAGUCUUUAAUCAUACGGGACAAAAGAAACAAGCUUUUUGAAAAAUAUUCAUAUUA